AUUGAACGCUGGCGGAAUGCUUUACACAUGCAAGUCGAACGGCAGCAUAGGUGCUUGCACCUGAUGGCGAGUGGCGAACGGGCGAGUAAUACAUCGGAACGUGCCCAGUCGUGGGGGAUAACGUAGCGAAAGUUACGCUAAUACCGCAUACGAUCUAAGGAUGAAAGCGGGGGACCGUAAGGCCUCGCGCGAUUGGAGCGGCCGAUGUCAGAUUAGGUAGUUGGUGAGGGAAAGGCUCACCAAGCCGACGAUCUGUAGCUGGUCUGAGAGGACGCCCAGCCACACUGGGACUGAGACACGGCCAAGACUCCUACGGGAGGAAGCAGUGGGGAAUUUUGGACAAUGGACGCAAGUCUGAUCCAGCCAUUCCGCGUGCAGGACGAAGGCCUUCGGGUUGUAAACUGCUUUUGUACGGAACGAAAAAGCUCUUACUAAUACUAGGAGUCCAUGACGGUACCGUAAGAAUAAGCACCGGCUAACUACGUGCCAGCAGCCGCCGUAA
rnacentral:rRNA from 1 species